CGGGGGAGCAAGCGUUGUUCGGAUUUACUGGGCGUAAAGGGCGCGUAGGCGGCCACCGCAAGUCAGUUGUGAAAUCUCUGGGCUUAACCCAGAAAGGUCAACUGAUACUGCGGGGCUAGGGUGCAGAAGGGGCAACUGGAAUUCUCGGUGUAGCGGUGAAAUGCGUAGAUAUCGAGAGGAACACCUGCGGCGAAGGCGGGUUGCUGGGCUGACACUGACGCUGAGGCGCGAAAGCUAGGGGAGCGAACGGGAUUAGAUACCCCGGUAGUCCUAGCCUUAAACGAUGAAUGCUUGGUGUCUGGGGUUUUAUAGUCCCCGGGUGCCGUCGCUAACGCUUUAAGCAUUCCGCCUGGGGAGUACGGUCGCAAGACUG
rnacentral:rRNA from 1 species